UGAAAGAAUAUGAGGCCAAAGUCAAA
rnacentral:piRNA from 1 species